AAUAAGAUGGUAAAAACUACAAAAUACAAAUCAGAUUACAUCAAGAACUGUUGGAAAGGACUGCAGCAACAUAUCAGCACUCGGAAAAAACAAUAGAGUUGUGCCCAAGGAAAAAAAGUCGUAUAAAUGAGAUAUUCCGCCUCAUUCAGGUUAACCAUGCCGCGUAAACGUUUACUUCUCCAAUAGCUCUGAUCCAGCAGUUGAGAUGCGAAUUUCAAUUUAUGUUUUUACCAUCAAAGGUUUGACAGUCCCCACUAUUGACGAGAUCUAGAGAUUUGAUUGGAUUUCACAAUUAAUGUUAUAGGGUUCAAGAACUCCAAAACUUGGCCAUUGUUUACAGGUAUUGGAAGUUGGGCAACAUUUUGCGAAAUUUGUUUUCAUGUUCCAAAGCUCUAAAGUCUAUCGUGGUAUGCAAGGUUCAAAGAUCAAUGGCGGUAAUAGGUCAAAUGGGUGUGCAGAGAGUUCUUAUCGUUAAUG